AUUCUUCAACCCAACUGUUUAUUAAAAGCGGUUGGUGUUUGGAUUCUGAGCGCUGCUGGCUUCGGCCUAGCUCGUUCGUAAUGCAUCAGCAUCCCUAAUACAAGUUUGGAUUGACUUGGCGUAAUAGACUAUUCGCUAAGGAUUCAGUUCUCGGACUGAGCCAGCUUAAUUAAGGAAGCUUCUAGUCACAAAGUCUACCUUUAG
rnacentral:misc_RNA from 2 species